rnacentral:rRNA from 1 species
AACGAACGCUGGCGGCAUGCCUAACACAUGCAAGUCGAACGAGACCUUCGGGUCUAGUGGCGCACGGGUGCGUAACGCGUGGGAACCUGCCCUUAGGUUCGGAAUAACUCCCCGAAAGGGGUGCUAAUACCGGAUAAUGUCUUCGGACCAAAGAUUUAUCGCCUUUGGAUGGGCCCGCGUUGGAUUAGCUAGUUGGUAGGGUAAAAGCCUACCAAGGCGACGAUCCAUAGCUGGUCUGAGAGGAUGAUCAGCCACACUGGGACUGAGACACGGCCCAGACUCCUACGGGAGGAAGCAGUGGGGAAUAUUGGACAAUGGGCGAAAGCCUGAUCCAGCAAUGCCGCGUGAGUGAUGAAGGACUUAGGGUUGUAAAGCUCUUUUACCCGGGAUGAUAAUGACAGUACCGGGAGAAUAAGCGCCGGCUAACUCCGUG